CCUUCACCAUUUCAAACCAUCUGAUCUUCUCCUAUCUUGAUCUGUGUUAUUGAUGGACUAAACUUGCUUUCCAUGUGUGUGUGGUGUUUUUUCUUAGAUAAUCAGGUAAGAAAUGACAACAUCUUCCCAAUUACAGCAAUCAUGAUAUUUUAGUGUUUUCUGUUUCAGAGAAAACUUAUGUUUAUUUGAGCAUUAGGUGAAUUCUGUUGUGAAUACCCAUAAUCAUGGAGUUCUGUGGUAUAGUAGUAAUUUUGCUGUUUUAUAGGUGAUGAGGAAAGAGGUGAAGGUGUGCCCAUCUUUGGCACACAUAGACAUUGAAGUACUGGGCACAGGAAGAGCUGAUGGGCCCUGCACUGAUUGCAAAGAACAAGGUCAUGUGCAGUGUUUUAGUAGAGGAGUGUCCAUAGACACACUUGUCACAAGAUGUUUUAAAUUACCAUCCAGAGGUCAUGUAAAUUUCACAAUGGUCUUUGAUGGGGCUUUGCUUAUAUUCAGGUAUUCAUUUCAGAAAUGAUACUGUCCCUACUAGUGCUAGUAAAUAAGUUGUAUCUUGCCACACACUUGUUGAGUGUGUUUUUCAAGAUUCUAGCGGUCCUGACAUCACAGUGACCCAGACCGUGGUUGUCAGUGGGAACUUGCUGGUAACCAGG